AUUGUCAGGGGACAGUGCUAGCUGGAAGGUACCAAGAAUGUGGGGAUUUUCUGGCAAUGUGCUAGCACCACGGAUUGUAUCCCAAUGCCUGAGACUGUUCCUAGACACUACUGAAUUUACUUGCAUAGAUGUAGCCUGAAGAUAUGCAUUGCUGGCCACAGGGUGUGACAUGAAAGUAUGUAGUGGAGACUGACAGCGUAAAGCUUACUUUAAUAGGAUUGGGAGACUGUAGAAGACGGAGGGAACCAAAUCAGUACCGGCUUGUUCAGAUUACUGAAUUGUGCUUUUGUAUUGUCUACCUCAGUACGAGAUGUAAUGAGCCAAAACUGUGCCAGCUGAUGUGUAAUCAACUAAGCAACUCUAACUCUGCUUUAAAGGAACCUGCACUGCGUGUGAAGAAGUUUUCUUCUAGAAAAAUGCAAGUGAAGGCUCAACAAGGCAUGUGAGGACUGGAAGAGUCAGCAUGAAACUGUCAGCUGCUUGUAGCUAACGCAAACUUACCAUGGAUCAACAUGCUAAGAUUGGAGGUUUAAUCCUGGACACACUUGCCUGUUUUCAUGCAUGCUACUACAAAUAGAGUGGUCACUUUGUGUGUCAGAUGAAGCAAGUCAAAGAGGUAGGGGGACAGAAGAAUGACAAAGUAUCAUGUUUUUAGGUUAGUCGCACUCCCCAAUAACUCUACUUAGUGACAGAAGUUUCAUGUAAAGAUCAAUGACACUGAAAACAGGUUUAUAACUGAGCCUAACAGAAGUUGCUCUGCUGCAAUCUAUUCAUUCUUUCUUAGUUAGCAAACACUAUCCCAAUUACAGGCAGAACAGAUGCUGCUCAUAACCAACAACUAGUUUCUAACCACAACUUUAUAAAUAUAGAAACACUGACUGCCAAUUCAAAGUGCAUCACAUUAAUGGUUCAAAGAUUAGAAUAUCUGUUAAAUGAUGAUGUAACCUCAAAAAAGCAACUAAUACAGACAGGCAGAAAUCUUUAUUGAUGUUUCUGGGGAAAUGGGAUUACGGUAAUAUAGCCAGGUAAAGAUUAAACUAAAAGAUGAAGCAAAUCCUGACAGAAUCCACGCAGCUAGAAUUUCAGUUCCAGUUCUCUCUGAUGGAGAAAGAUGCAUUAAAUAGAACAUUUAUAGUAGAUGUGGAGCUAUAAAAUACAUUAAUACCCACUGAAUAGAAUAUACUUGCAUUUUCCACAUAAGUGACAAAUAAACCACUUAGCAAAGCUGUCA
rnacentral:lncRNA from 1 species